UAGGGAAUCUUCCACAAUGGACGAAAGUCUGAUGGAGCAACGCCGCGUGAGUGAAGAAGGGUUUCGGCUCGUAAAACUCUGUUGUUAAAGAAGAACAUAUCUGAGAGUAACUGUUCAGGUAUUUGACGGUAUUUAACCAGAAAGCCACGGCUAACUACGUGCCAG
rnacentral:rRNA from 1 species